GAUCCUGGCUCAGGAUGAACGCUAGCUACAGGCUUAACACAUGCAAGUCGAGGGGCAGCAUGAACUUAGCUUGCUAAGUUUGAUGGCGACCGGCGCACGGGUGAGUAACACGUAUCCAACCUUCCGUUUACUCAGGGAUAGCCUUUCGAAAGAAAGAUUAAUACCUGAUAGUAUGGUGAGAUUGCAUGAUAGCACCAUUAAAGAUUUAUUGGUAAACGAUGGGGAUGCGUUCCNUAGG
rnacentral:rRNA from 1 species